rnacentral:rRNA from 16 species
UUGUUAUACUGGGGCGGUAACCUUCAUUAGAGUAACGAGGGUAAGCAAAAGCCGGUAUCAAGUUCGAACUGAUAAAUGCCGGUUGACUGUGAGAAACACUAUUCGAACAGACGU